rnacentral:rRNA from 1 species
CAAUAGCGUAUAUUAAAGUUGUUGCAGUUAAAAAGCUCGUAGUUGGAUUUCUGGUAAUAGUGACCAUUCAUGACUUGAUUGUCAUUGUAAUGUGUUGCCUAUCACCAUCCUCGUAGAAAAUGUUUUAGCAUUAAUUUGUUGAAUUCACAAUCUACGUCAUUUACUGUGAAAAAAUUAGAGUGUUUAAAGCAGGCAAUUGGUUUGAAUACAUUAGCAUGGAAUAAUAAGAUAGGACUUUGGUGCUAUUUUGUUGGUUUGCACAUCAAGGUAAUGAUUAACAGAAACAGUCGGGGAUAUUAGUAUGUAAAUGUCAGAGGUGAAAUUCUUGGAUUUUUUACAGACUAACUACUGCGAAAGCAUUUAUCAAGGAUGUUUUCAUUAA